rnacentral:rRNA from 1 species
AGAGUUUGAUCCUGGCUCAGGAUGAACGCUAGCUACAGGCUUAACACAUGCAAGUCGAGGGGCAGCAUGUUGGUUGCUUGCAACCAAUGAUGGCGACCGGCGCACGGGUGAGUAACGCGUAUCCAACCUACCCUUGUCCAUCGGAUAACCCGUCGAAAGGCGGCCUAACACGAUAUGCGGUUCUCAGCAGGCAUCUAACAAGAACGAAAUGUGAAGGAGAAGGAUGGGGAUGCGUCUGAUUAGCUUGUUGGCGGGGUAACGGCCACCAAGGCGACGAUCAGUAGGGGUUCUGAGAGGAAGGUCCCCCACAUUGGAACUGAGACACGGUCCAAACUCCUACGGGAGUCA